AGUGAACGCUGGCGGUAGGCCUAACACAUGCAAGUCGAACGGCAGCACAGUAAGAGCUUGCUCUUACGGGUGGCGAGUGGCGGACGGGUGAGGAAUACAUCGGAAUCUACUUUUUCGUGGGGGAUAACGUAGGGAAACUUACGCUAAUACCGCAUACGACCUACGGGUGAAAGCAGGGGAUCUUCGGACCUUGCGCGAUUGAAUUAGCCGAUGUCGGAUUAGCUAGUUGGCGGGGUAAAGGCCCACCAAGUCGACGAUCCGUAGCUGGUCUGAGAGGAUGAUCAGCCACACUGGAGCUGAGACACGGUCCAGACUCCUACGGGAGGCAGCAGUGGGGAAUAGUGGACAAUAGGGGCGAGCCUGAUCCAGCCAUACCGCGUGGGUGAAGAAGGCCUUCGGGUUGUAAAGCCCUUUUGUUGGGAAAGAAAAGCAGCAGGUUAAUACCCCGCUGUUCUGACGGUACCCAAAGAAUAAGCACCGGCUAACUUCGUG
rnacentral:rRNA from 1 species